rnacentral:lncRNA from 10 species
GCACUUUUUUUUUUCUUGUCUUAUUGCACUGAGUUAAGAGUUCUCGGACAAUGUUGUAGAGAAGUGGUGAGAGAAGAAAUCUUUGGAAACAGUUGUUCCCAAUCUUAAGGAUAUCAGCUUCUGGAGUCUGGAAUCAUGAAGUCUGGAAGCAAAGAGCUCUUCCUCUGAGCCAGUUAAGGCUAUCGAAGAUAAGAACCAGUUUCCCUAGCUGAGUUGGUGGUUUUUUGUUGCCUCUCAAACCUCAUUUGGAGGCUCAUCUUGCUCUGUGUUCUUCAAGAAGUCCUGUCUAGGCUGGAAGUCCCUCUUCCGUAAACUGGGUCACAGCAACAGAGCACACAGCUGUGAAAACACAAGGGCAAGAUCUGCCGGACUUGGGAAUAUCUCCCUUUGAAGGUGACAAGGCAGAGACUAAAUCAGGAACAUGCUCACACUUGCUCCCCAAACUGAGAGCCUCAGAGAGAGGUUGGCUUUCUGAAGGUUCUCACCUCGUGUCUCCACACCUGUGUCCUGUGGAUCCACACACAGUUGUCUCAAAUACGCUUUGCGAUAUAUUUGGAAAAGAGAUUUUUACAAGCUCCAUUUGUCUUAUUUUGUGAUUACCCACUGUGCAACUUACUUUACAUCUCCAACUUCCUCCUGCAUCCUAGGGAAAUGCAGUCUCGCAAUGGGAAACAGAGUCCCUCUGCCACCCUGUGUUGGUCACUGGGUGAGCAAAGUCAGCCGCCCAGGUGAACCAGAACCUGCAGACCCCCUUAAUAAGCCAAGCCCCGCCUGUCAGGUUGACAGCGGAAGGAGACACUUGGUGCGGGGAGAUGUAGCUGGGCUUGGUAGCCCUGAUUGUAGUCUUCUUAUGUUUACAUCCCCUUGAAGAUUCCCGGCAAGUCACCACUCUCCUCACCACAGUGGCUUCAUGGAGUGCCAUUCCCCUUCCAAAUCCUAAUGACUUGUAGCUUUUCACUUAUUUCCCUAUGCGCAGCUGUUGGCAACAGGUGGGAAUAUUUAACCGAGACUCUACAACAAGCUCCUGGAUAACACUAAGGAAUAAACACACAGUAACUGGCAGCUCAAUCGAUCUGGGACUCCUACUUGGGGCCUCCUGGACCACCUCCAUCAUCAGCGGCCAUCCCCACUGACCACUCUCACCAGCACACCCAAGUCCCUCAGGUCCAAGCUCUUCCCAAGAUGCCAGCCCUCUUCAGUCCCAAGUCCUCCUUCCAAGGAACUAUGUCUGGUCAGAUGACCAUCCCCUUCCAUGGGUGAUGCCCCUCCCUUCCCUUCUCAGGAUACGUAGCCCCAACCCUCACUAUCAAAAUCCAUCCUCUGCUGUGUGCACUGAGUAGGGGGCUGAGAGAUAGAAUGAAGAGCAGGUGAAAAGGCGGGAGACAUUUUGUUCCAGAAGUAGUGAGUAGUAGUAAGUAGAAGUGGUGAGAUAUGGAAUGUCCAGUAAAUCUCUCCUCCCUUCCCUCAUCAUUUGCCAAACUACAUCACACAAACCUUCUUCUGUAAGCACCUAGCUAGAAGAUUGAAGAUCUCUGUUAAAAAGAAUUCAUUUUCACAACUGAUAUAACAUAUUUAAUCAUUAACAAUAAUUCUUUAAUGCCCUACACUCUUUUGUCAUUGUCUCUUUUCUUGCCUGCCUCCUCUUCAUGAUGCAACCGCCUGGGGGAAAGAUCUGUGGGUCUUUUUUUCUUUUUAAUGUCCAUUGCCUAAAAUACAGUGUUGCCUAAAAAAGCAUGACAACGAAUAAAUCUUAGGCACUCUCAGCCAGCACUGCAUGAGGGAGUCCUGACCAGCAGGGGUUAUUUUAUGAUUGUCCUGUUUGGAACCUGAAGCCUGGAAUGAAAAUAAAUUUAGACUAGAAAGCAUUCAAUAAUUAAACUUUAGUAACUUAUAUUGUAGAUAGCAAAACAUCCAAUUAAAAAAUUUAUGAGUGCCAACUGUGUGUCUGGCUUGUGCUAGCUGCUGAAGAUAAAGAUAAUAAGACUCGGCCCCUGCCCUCAAGGGGCUUACACUCCAGAGGUAAACCUAUCCUGAUGUUUGUCAUAAUCAUGUCUGCGUUGUGCUUUAUAGUUUUACUAUAUAUGUAUGUAUCCAUAAGUAAUACAACCUACUUUUGCCUCUGAAAUCUUAUAUAAAAGGAAUGACAUCACAGAUACAUCCAUGUUUUUAAGUGUGUAGCUGUAGUUUGUUCAUUUUCAUUAUUUUAUUUUAUUCCAUUGAAUGAAGAUGUCACUAUUUAUUUAUCCCUUCUACUGAGAAUUGACAUUUGGGGCAUUUUCAGUUUGAAACUGUUUCAAACAAUGCUUCCAUAAACACUCUUGCCCAUGUUUCCUGAUCCACACCUGUAAGUUUCUCUUGGGGAAAUAUCUAGGAAUAGUAUUGUUGGGUCACUGCGUUACAUCUUAAAUUUUACUAUGUAACAGUUUGUCAAAGAAUUGUAGCAAUUUCCACUCCAACCUGUAAGAUAAGAUAGUCUCCUUGAUCCAAAUUCUCACCAACAUUUGAUACAAUCAGACGUUUAAUUUUGGACAAUUUAGUGGUUAUAAUUAAUAUUAUAAAUUAAUGAGCCUACAUAUAUUCAGGAUACUAGAACUUAGUCACUUAGAUGUAUUACAAAUACCUUCUAAUGUGGCUCCUGUUUUCACUCUCUUUAUGGUACUGGAAGAUACUUAUUUUUAAUUUAAUAUAAUGUUUUCCUUUAUGGUAUUUCUUGUUUAUUGUUAAAAAAAUACUCCCCUAUCCCAAGGCCUUGAAGAUGUUCUCCUAUAUUAUCUUCUGAAAACUUUAUGGAUUUGCCUUUCAUGUAGGGUUUUUUUUUUUCCUCCACAUGGAAUUGGUAUAGGGUAAGGAUUGAAUUUCAUUUGGUUUCCUUAUGGAUAUCCAAUUAUCCCAGCACAAUUUAUUGAAAAGGCAUUAUGUCCUCAUCUGUAUCCAAUACCUCUUUAUCCAUAUAUAGGUACAUUUCUUCAUACUUCAUUCUAGUCCCCUGGCCUAGUUGUUAGUCUCUGAACAAAUAGCAUUCUAUCUUAAUUACUAUAGCUUUAUAAUAAGUUUUGAUAUAAGGUAAAGCAGGGUCUCAUACCUUGUUCCAAAAGAGUGUAAUGGUUUUUCUUGUCCUCCUGUAUUUAUAAAAUACAUUUUAGACCAGCUUAUAAAGCUCCAC